ACGGCUACCUUGUUACGACUUAGCCCCAGUCACCGGUUUUACCUUAGGGCGCUCCUUGCGGUUGCACACUUCAGGCACUCCCGGCUUCCAUGGCUUGACGGGCGGUGUGUACAAGGCCCGGGAACGUAUUCACCGCGCCGUGGCUGAUGCGCGAUUACUAGCGAAUCCAGCUUCAUGGAGUCGGGUUGCAGACUCCAAUCCGAACUGAGACAGGCUUUGAAGUUCCGCUCUGCGUCGCCGCAUCGCUUCUCUCUGUACCUGCCAUUGUAACACGUGUGUCGCCCCGGACGUAAGGGCCGUGCUGAUUUGACGUCAUCCCCGCCUUCCUCACAACUUGCGCCGGCAGUCUCGCCAGAGUCCCCAACUUUACUUGCUGGUAACUGGCGAUGGGGGUUGCGCUCGUUAUGGCACUUAAGCCGACACCUCACGGCACGAGCUGACGACAACCAUGCAGCACCUCGACGGAUGUCCCGUAGGACUGCCUCCUUUCAGAAACAUCCAUCCGUCGUUUGAA
rnacentral:rRNA from 1 species